GACCUGGUGCACAUAUUUAUACGCAAUAUUGUCAGGCUACAUGGUAUUCCUCAAAAUAUUGUGUCUGACAGGGGUUUCAAAUUUGUGUCAAGGUUCUGGAGGCCAUUCAAUAAACAGUUGGGCAUUGAAUUGUCAUUUUCCUCUGCUUACCAUGCCCAAACUAAUGGUAAAGCUGAGAGCUGUAUUUUAUGUUGCUUUGUGAAUAGUACACAGUCUAACUGGGCUGAAUUAUUG